AUAACCAAUAUCUGGGUCCUGGACUACUUUGGUGGACCAAAAAUCGUGACACCAGAAGAAUAUUAUAAUGUCACAGUUCACUGGAAGACAUCUUGUGGAGACCAUCUAGUUCAGCUUCUUCAUUGUAUAGCUGAGGACACCCAGGCCCAGAGAGGGGAAGUGAUUUGGUCAAAGUCACACAGCAAGUAAAGGACAAAGCUGAGAGCAGAUCCCAGGCAAGCUUCUUCCAUCUGGUGAAAAAGAUGAACACCAGGCGUGUCUGAUCUUCCCAGAGGAAGAAGGGAGCAUCUUUUUGAACAGCAUUUCUGUGAGAAAUGGGAUCCUAAGGUGGCCUCCAAGAUUGACACGCCAUGGUACAAUCUUCGUGAUCGUAAGAAGAACCUGUGAAUACGAUGAGCUAUCACUCCUGUGCUUUUGCGGUUUUAUGUGGCAAAGGGAGAGUGUUCUGGGUGGGCCUGACCUGAUCAGGCAUAUCCUCUAAAAUCAGAGUUUUCUCCAGCUGGUUCCAGAAGACUAAGUCAGAGAGAUGCUCUGUGUUUGGGCCAGAAGCAAGCAAACAUCCACAUUGUGAACUGCCUAUGGGGGCCACCUGGCAAGGAACUGCAGGUGUUUUCUGGGACCUGAGAGCAUUCCCUGGCCAAUCAUUAGCAGGAAAACAGGAACUCACUCCUAUAACUGAGAGGAAAUAAAAUUUACCAACAACCAAUGAGCCUGGAAGAAGACCCUGAGCCUCAAAUGAGAACUGCAGCCCCAGCCAACACUGAUUUCAGCCUUGUAAGUACCUGAGCAGAGAA
rnacentral:lncRNA from 1 species